AAGAAAAAAAUUAUCUGAGCAAGGUUUUUUUUUUUCAGUUAAGAUAAUGUAUAAGACAUUGAUCUCCUCACUGAUUUGUAUGUCUUUUUUUGCAGACACUAUGGCAUCACCACCUGUAAUCCAGCAGGCCCCUGCCUUCAUUCAGGUAAAAUCUGGAGAAGAGGCACGUCUCGAAUGUUACCAUGGGGAGAACAGCUAUCCUUACAUGCUCUGGUACCAGUCAACUGUCGGGGGCCGAAAGACCAUGGACCUGAUUGGACUGCUUCAUUAUGAAAAUAAAAACCCUGAGAAGGGCUUUGAAAGCCGUUUUAACUUCACCGGUCAUUCAAAAGGCAAAGCUUGGCUGGUCAUCUGUGAUACCAAACCAGCAGACACAGCACAGUAUUUCUGUGCAGCUAGUCAACACAGUGCUUUAAUUCCUGUGGCUGCUGCACAAAAACACUGCUGCUCAUAUCUAGCAUGCACCUGCAUGAACUGA